UACGUAGGGUGCAAGCGUUGUCCGGAAUUAUUGGCGUAAAGAGCUCGUAGGCGGUGUGUCGCGUCGGCCGUGAAAACCUGCAGCUUAACUGUGGGCUUGCGGUCGAUACGGGCAUCACUGGAGUUCGGCAGGGGAGACUGGAAUUCCUGGUGUAGACGGUGAAAUGCGCAGAUAUCAGGAGGAACACCGGUGGCGAAGGCGGGUCUCUGGGCCGAUACUGACGCUGAGGAGCGAAAGCGUGGGGAGCGAACAGG
rnacentral:rRNA from 1 species